AGGGUAUUUUGGGUUGAUACUGAACCAUCUUCCAACCGCAUCGAAUCCUGUAGCAUUGAAGGGGCAAAUCGAAGGACAUUGAUGCACACUGCAAAUGAUAUAGGACUCUUUGAUUUGACCAUCUCAGGGAACUUCAUUUACACUACAGCAAAGGUCAUCAAGAAAAUGAUAGUACUUAUGAAAGCUAGUGGUGAAGAACUCCUGAAUCUUAAUCUAGAUUAUGAUCCAUACAGUGUUGUAACAUACGCUCCGGAUGAACAGCCUCAAGAAUAUUCGCCAUGUAGUAGCAACCCGUGUAGCUUCCUAUGUGUUGGAGCAGGACCUAAUGAUUACACCUGUCUCUGUGGAAAUGGUUUCCUAUUAAAUGAGGAUGGUCGUACUUGUAUUAAGGGUGAGUUAUUUGAACCAAACUAUGCCCCAUUAGACGAAAUCUGUUUAUUACGAUACAUUUUUGCAUCAUGCGCAUAAUGCAUUUAAUCGACUGAAUAUUUUUUUAUCAAUUAUGAUGCCUACAAAAAUGGGAAAACGUUAAUUUACAAGUCAGUGAAAAUGGAAGCAUGUGUCGGCGAAAUGUAUAUAAGUGUGAUCAAUCUUGGUGAUGUACGUGCUGUACAUGUCUCCUUUAUAACUAUAUUUGAGAUCAAGAGGAUGGAGAGGGCCGUAUUUACGUAGCAAGAUUAGAUUCAGAUAUUUUUAUUGUCCAAUUGCAAUCGGGUACAAAUGGAAAUUCAAUUUGUUCGCACAAAAUGAUUUAGAAUAUCACGUGAUACACACAAAAUAUUACAAGAUACAUAUAGUAAACAGACAAAUCAAAAAGCAAAAAUAAGAGAAAUUAAGAUAAAGGCAGGAAGGGGGGAGGUAUAUAUAAUUUCAAGUAUGGCUAUUAAAUGCACGGAUUGAAACUGGAACGAAAGAGUUUACGAAGCGUGGGUUUCUGCAGGGAAGGGAUCUCAGACGUUCGCCUGACCUCAUCAAAUUGUGAUAUUAUUGAGGGCAUUGUUCUCAUUGGUCAUGAUCUCUUUGGCUUUUUCAAGGACUCUAUCUUCAUUCUCGUCU